AGAGGAUGAUCAGUCACACUGGAACUGAGACACGGUCCAGACUCCUACGGGAGGCAGCAGUGGGAAUAUUGCACAAUGGAGGAAACUCUGAUGCAGCAACGCCGCGUGGAGGAUGACACUUUUCGGAGCGUAAACUCCUUUUAUAUAGGAAGAUAAUGACGGUACUAUAUGAAUAAGCACCGGCUAACUCCGUGCCAGCAGCCGCGGUAAUACGGAGGGUGCAAGCGUUACUCGGAAUCACUGGGCGUAAAGAGCGUGUAGGCGGAUAGAUAAGUUUGAAGUGAAAUCCAAUGGCUUAACCAUUGAACUGCUUUGAAAACUGUCUAUCUAGAAUAUGGGAGAGGUAGAUGGAAUUUCUGGUGUAGGGGUAAAAUCCGUAGAGAUCAGAAGGAAUACCUAUUGCGAAGGCGAUCUACUGGAACAUUAUUGACGCUGAGACGCGAAAGCGUGGGGAGCAAACAGGAUUAGAUACCCUGGUAGUCCACGCCCUAAACGAUGUACACUAGUUGUUGCGAUGCUAGACAUUGCAGUAAUGCAGUUAACACAUUAAGUGUACCGCCUGGGGAGUACGGUCGCAAGAUUAAAACUCAAAGGAAUAGACGGGGACCCGCACAAGCGGUGGAGCAUGUGGUUUAAUUCCACUAUACGCGAAGAACCUUACCUGGACUUGACAUAGUAAGAACUUUCUAGAGAUAGAUUGGUGUCUGCUUGCAGAAACUUAUAUACAGGUGCUGCACGGCUGUCGUCAGCUCGUGUCGUGAGAUGUUGGGUUAAGUCCCGCAACGAGCGCAACCCUCGUCGUUAGUUGCUAACAGUUCGGCUGAGAACUCUAACGAGACUGCCUACGCAAGUAGGAGGAAGGUGAGGACGACGUCAAGUCAUCAUGGCCCUUACGUCCAGGGCUACACACGUGCUACAAUGGGGCAUACAAAGAGCAGCAAUACGGUGACGUGGAGCAAAUCUCAAAAAUGCCUCCCAGUUCGGAUAGUAGUCUGCAACUCGACUACUUGAAGUUGGAAUCGCUAGUAAUCGUAGAUCAGCAAUGCUACGGUGAAUACGUUCCCGGGUCUUGUACUCACCGCCCGUCACACCAUGGGAGUUGAACUCAUUCGAAGCGGGGAUGCUAAAGUAGCUACCCUCCACAGUGGAUUCAGCGACUGGGGUGAAGUCGAAACAAGGUAACCGUAGGAGAACCUGCGGUUG
rnacentral:rRNA from 1 species